rnacentral:rRNA from 1 species
AUUGAACGCUGGCGGCAGGCCUAACACAUGCAAGUCGAGCGAGCGGCGGACGGGUGAGUAAUGUCUGGGAAACUGCCUGAUGGAGGGGGAUAACUACUGGAAACGGUAGCUAAUACCGCAUACCAUCAGAUGUUCCCAGAUGGGAUUAGCUAGUAGGUGGGGUAAUGGCCCACCUAGGCGACGACCCCUAGCUGGUUUGAGAGGAUGACCAGCAACACUGGAAGUUGGACACGGUCCAGACACCAACGGGAGGCAGCAGUAGGGAAUAUUGCGCAAUGGGCAGGAGGCAGAUGCAGUCAUGCCGCGUGUGUGAAGAAGGCCUUCGGGUUGUAAAGCACGUUAAGCGAGGAGGAGUUACUCGCAGAAGAAGCACCGGCUAACUCCGUGCCAGCAGCCGCGGUAAUAC